rnacentral:lncRNA from 1 species
GGGUUAUGCGUCAUUGAACCUAGAUGAAGCCUUCCUCUUUCAGAAAGGAUUUAUAUCAUAUCAAAUUAUCAAUGAGCCCAAAUAUUUUAUCAAUGAUUUUAAUAUUAAAUUAAAUAAAAUCUUAUGCUAAUUAAGAAAUAGUUUUAUCCUCCUUAACCUAAUUUAUUUGGAAAGAGUGUUUCGCAAAACAAUUAGGGAGUGUUUGAUUGGAGAGAGUGGAGGUGUAGAAUUGGAAUCAAAAUGGAUGACUCCC